rnacentral:piRNA from 1 species
UGGGUGAAUUCCUCCUCUCUGCCUUGUG